CAAAAAGUAGUUUAAAAAAAAUUUCAGUUUUGGGGAUUGAAGAUGGAAUAAGUAUUUUCUUUUUGA
rnacentral:tRNA from 1 species